CAGUCGAGGGGCAGCGGGGGUGAUGGCUUGCCAUCGCCUGCCGGCGACCGGCGCACGGGUGAGUAACACGUAUGCAACCUGCCCGCCACAGGGGGAUAAGCGGAAGAAAUUCCGUCUAAUACCGCGUGACGCGGCGCCGGGGCAUCCCGGUGCCGCCAAAGGGAUUACCGGUGGCGGAUGGGCAUGCGGCGCAUUAGCUAGUCGGCGGGGUAACGGCCCACCGAGGUGACGAUGCGUAGGGGUUCUGAGAGGAAGGUCCCCCACACUGGUACUGAGACACGGACCAGACUCCUACGGGAGGCAGCAGUGAGGAAUAUUGGUCAAUGGGCGGGAGCCUGAACCAGCCAAGUCGCGUGAGGGAUGACGGUCCUACGGAUUGUAAACCUCUUUUGCCGGGGAGCAAGCGUGCGUUCGUGAACGCACGUCGAGAGUACCCGGAGAAAAAGCAUCGGCUAACUCCGUGCCAGCAGCCGCGGUAAUACGGAGGAUGCGAGCGUUAUCCGGAUUUAUUGGGUUUAAAGGGUGCGUAGGCGGGAUGCCAAGUCAGCGGUAAAAAUGCGGUGCUCAACGCCGUCGAGCCGUUGAAACUGGCGUUCUUGAGUGGGCGAGAAGUAUGCGGAAUGCGUGGUGUAGCGGUGAAAUGCAUAGAUAUCACGCAGAACUCCGAUUGCGAAGGCAGCAUACCGGCGCCCGACUGACGCUGAAGCACGAAAGCGUGGGUAUCGAACAGGAUUAGAUACCCUGGUAGUCCACGCAGUAAACGAUGAAUACUAAUUGUGUGCUCCGAAUGAGGAGUGCGUGAUACAGCG
rnacentral:rRNA from 1 species